rnacentral:lncRNA from 12 species
AUGUGUGGAGGAAGGGUCAAGUCAGAAGAGGACCAUUUGCCACAGGACUCUGGGAGCUGUGGAGAAAAUGAGCUUCCAGGUGUUCUCUCCUGGCCCCGGCACCUGCGGGCUCCGACCUGUGAGGGAGAAGGGACAGCAACAGAAGAGAAUGGAUUCGCAGCUCUGGCAGCGGCGCCAAGAGACCACCGUGCGGGCCGCAGUCUCAGCAGUGAUGUGGCCGUGGCUCGCCUUGGGGCCUGCCGGUGUCCCCAGCGUGGUUCCCGGCCUCCCACUGACAGUGUUUGCGAGGGUCUUCACGUCCUCUCGGUACGUCCCCUCCUGGCUGGCACCAGCUGGUCCGUGCCUGCGGCUGCCUCUGACGAUUGUCCCUCCCCGGGCUGUGCUGAGCUCCCAGCUGCUGUCUCGCUCUGCUGCCCACUAGCAGGGUUGAGAUUCUUCUCCUCCCCAUCCCUGAAGUUAGGAUUCCUGGCAUGUCCCAGUCUUGCUGUGUGACCCCUGCCAGGUCCUCACUGCUGCUUCUGAAUGUUCGUGCCCUCUGUAAAGGGGAGGGCUUCUUUCCCUGAAAGCCAGACCCAAUGGCACAGGUUCUAACAGCAACCACCAUGUUCCAGGGACAAUCUUCAGAUUUUUCUGGCUCUGAAUGAGGUUUGACAAGUCAUCAAACCUCCUAGUCUCCUUGUCCCUGGGAGUUCUCCCGACUUCACCAGACUGAGGCUGAAGUCCGACUCCCAAGGGGAUUGCAAACCUCUGAGUCAGAAAUGCGGCUGCAAGGCUAAC